UACGUAGGGUGCAAGCGUUGUCCGGAAUUAUUGGGCGUAAAGAGCUCGUAGGCGGUCUGUCGCGUCGGCUGUGAAAACUCGGGGCUCAACCCCGAGCCUGCAGUCGAUACGGGCAGACUAGAGUCCGGCAGGGGAGACUGGAAUUCCUGGUGUAGCGGUGAAAUGCGCAGAUAUCAGGAGGAACACCGAUGGCGAAGGCAGGUCUCUGGGCAUUAACUGACGCUGAGGAGCGAAAGCAUGGGGAGCGAACAGG
rnacentral:rRNA from 1 species